rnacentral:tRNA from 1 species
GGGGAUGUGGCUCGAGCGAUAGCGCGCUCGCCUCGCAUGCGAGCGCCUGGGUUCGAUCCUCAGCACUACA